UCCGUAGGGUGAACCUGCGGAGGGAUCAUUACCGAGUUUACAACUCCCAAACCCAAUGUGAACCAUACCAAACUGUUGCCUCGGCGGGGGCACGCCCCGGGUGCGUCGCAGCCCCGGAACCAGGCGCCCGCCGGAGGGACCAACCAAACUCUUUUCUGUAGUCCCCUCGCGGACGUUAUUUCUUACAGCUCUGAGCAAAAAUUCAAAAUGAAUCAAAACUUUCAACAACGGAUCUCUUGGUUCUGGCAUCGAUGAAGAACGCAGCGAAAUGCGAUAAGUAAUGUGAAUUGCAGAAUUCAGUGAAUCAUCGAAUCUUUGAACGCACAUUGCGCCCGCCAGUAUUCUGGCGGGCAUGCCUGUCCGAGCGUCAUUUCAACCCUCGAACCCCUCCGGGGGGUCGGCGUUGGGGACCUCGGGAGCCCCUAAGACGGGAUCCCGGCCCCGAAAUACAGUGGCGGUCUCGCCGCAGCCUCUCCUGCGCAGUAGUUUGCACAACUCGCACCGGGAGCGCGGCGCGUCCACGUCCGUAAAACACCCAACUUUCUGAAAUGUUGACCUCGGAUCAGGUAGGAAUACCCGCUGAACUUAAGCAUAUCAAUAA
rnacentral:rRNA from 1 species